rnacentral:rRNA from 1 species
AUUGCGGCGACGUGGGCGGUUCGCUGCCCGCGACGUUGUGAGAAGUCCACUGAACCUUAUCAUUUAGAGGAAGGAGAAGUCGUAACAAGGUUUCCGUAGGUGAACCUGCGGAAGGAUCAUUG